GGGGGCGGUGAAGCGCGGGUCGUCCCUCCCGCUCCAGCCACCUCCCUCUGCCUCUCCCGCUCUGCCCCACCCCGUCCGCGGGGCCGCGAGGGUCGUCCCGGGAGCGGGAAGGCCGAGGAGAAGGAGGAAGAGCCUGUCCGGUGCUGGCCUGGCCUCCAGCGGCUGGCGAGGCCCGUGUCCGAGUGGGACGGACGCACUCGGGUCUACCCGUGGCUCUUUCACAGAAUCCCAGGAUUUUUGAUGUUAGAAGGAACCUCUGGAGAUCAUCCAGUCCAACCCCAGCCCAGGCAGGGUCAUCUGGAGCAGAUGACACAGGGACGUGUCCAGAUACCCUCUAGCAUGGCAGGUGAAGAAGAUUUCUUUUUGGAAGAAAAAAGAUUCAAGCAGCACUGUGAAGAAUUUGUUAAGCAUUCACAGCAGAUAGGAGAUGGCUGGGAGUGGAGAACUAACAAGGACCUUGGUGAUGGUUAUCUUAGUAAAACACAUUUCCAGGUAAGAAAUAGACACAUCGCACAAGAUCUCAGGGAGAAAACCAGUGAUAACAUUGAAGAAACGUUACUUGCACAUGUUGAAGAGUCUUUGGAUGAUUCUCAAGUAGCUGGAGUUUGUACAACAGAAGAAGUGAUUCGCUAUGAGUAUCAUGUCUUGUACUCCAGCAGCUACCAAGUACCUGUGCUUUAUUUCAGGGCAUGCUUUUUAGAUGGAAGACCUUUAACUCUGGAGGAAAUAUGGGGAAGUGUUCAUGCAUGUUACCAGGAUCGUCUGCAGGAGGGGCCCUGGGACACCAUCACACAGCAGGAGCACCCCAUCCUUGGGCAGCCCUUUUUUGUUCUGCACCCCUGCAGAACUAAUGAAUUCAUCUCCACUGUGCUGACUGGCCCAUGGAAACACAACAGGCACAAAAAUUACAUUAUUCUGUGGCUCAGUACUGUAGGCCCAGUUGUGGGUCUCAGUGUGCCUCUGAGUUAUGCAAAAGUAGCACCUGAGCAGAAUUCAAGCACUGAUUCAGCUGAAAGCUCUUGGGCCAGUUCACUUCCAGGACUCACCUUCCACUAUUUUGCUUACCUUCCUUAUUUUGCAAUGAGAAUUUGUGCUGAGAGAGAAGUGCUUGGACAUUGCUGACACCCUCUGUGAAUGCCAGGAGGCCCCUGAUGUCCUGUGGUCUUCCUCAGAGCUCUGAACUGAAGGACAGGUGAUGGUGAGCUGCUGCAGGCUCCCCUCGGGGUGAAGUCAAAGGGAUCCUUCCUGGCUGGUAGACAAUGCCAGUGUGGAAACAAUUGUUCAUGGCUCUUUCUUUGGCAAGAAGUGGCCACUGAUUACAGUGGAAGACUUAAUUGUUGGCUGCAGUUGUGGCAACACCUCUGCAGCACCACCAAGACCUGAACUCCUUUGAGACUGCAUUGGCCCUUGAAGUCAUUUUUCUACCACCUCCUGUGCUUGUGGCCUUGGAGAGGCUGCACAGAGAGGCACAAGCCUGUGGUUCCUUGAUACAGGGUGGAGUUGCUGGGUUUGGAUCUACUAAAAACUAUCUCUAGAAAACCUGUGAGGUGGCAAAUGCAAAACAUACACAGCAAAGUGCCUGUGGGACGUGGUGUGAGCUUGUGGCACCCAGUGCAUGGGCUGAGACUGCUUCACCUGGGAACCACCUUCUGCACCACAGCCUGAGGGAUGGACCCCCUCAUGUCCCACACCACACAAAAUCCUCAUCCUGGGACUGAGAAACACUUCUCUGAGAAUAUUGCAGGGAACAAACAGGAUCGGGAUUGUAACAAACAGGGAACUUGGAGCCUCCCUGUGAGUGAGCACCUUCAGUUCUGGAGUUCAGGUGGCUGAUGCAGCUGUGUGGGAACAUCUGGCUCUUCCAUGGCCUGCAGAGGAAGCUCUGCCAUUCCCUGUGGGAGUGACUGUUCCACUCAAUUAGUGUUUCUCAUUGUACUCCUGGCUGUUCACAGGUUUAUUCCCUACCCUGCUGUUUGGGGAGUUGCAUGGUGGUGCUGUCACUGAAAACCACAUUGCAAGUAACUUCCACACAACCCAUCCUGGCAUCUCUUCCCAUCCCAUUUUAUUUGUAGUGUAAAACAGAGCCCUGGGAUGGAACCACAGGUUUUACUUUACAUGUUCAGCAAUGUGUCACUUGCAGCCAGAGCCCGAUGUGUGCCACAUGAGGGCUGGGAACCUGGUAUGCAUCAGGUUCCAGAUUCUAAGCUUUAAACUUACAUCAUGUGUCUUUAUUGGACAAGAAAUACAGAGUGCAGUCUGUAAAAUUCCAUUGGUGUGGAAUUCUUUUGCCAGCCAUUUGGAACUAAUAAUGAAAGCACAUCAUUUAUCUUGUUCUGGAUCAUUACAACCUGAAAAAGCCAUUUUUCCAUGUGAGAUUUAUAAAAUGCAGCCAACAGCUAAGUUGCUUUUUUAACACUUCUGAUAACACAUGCUUGGUAAUUGCAUCAGUGGCCCACUUUUAAAUUUCAGCGAGACUUAGACAGGAGGAAAAACCAACAAAACCCAGAUAACAGCAGUUUUAAGAGCUGUUAAAUGUUCUUCCGUGCUCUGUGAUCUUCAUUUGUGAUACCCUGGAACAGAGGAGUGGGAGCACCAGCCUUCAAAAAGUGGAAUUUGUAUAUGGAGGGAAGUAAAUAUUUUUUCUUUUACAUGGAAAAAGUCUCAAUGACCAUUCUCAAUGAUUCUAAACCUCUUAACAGCAUAAACAACAAGGUAACAGAGCAAUGUCAUCAGCAGCAGCAAUGCUUCUCUGAAAUUUCCCUAGAAAACCAAAAUUCAGCUCAGUUACAGAUACACUGAGCUUAGACAGAGGAAGAAAUACAGGAUAACAUAAAUAUUUGUGAUUGAGAAGAGAUCCUGUUUGGAUGUCUCCUUUUUAAUGGCUGAAGUAGGUAAUUGGUAGGUAGGGACCCAAUUUACCCUUUUACAUUUAUGCUUUGAUGACUUAGGAUAUUUUCAACAGAAUUUUUGUGUACCAAAAUUCUGAUUUUUUAAAUUUUUUUAAAUCAAGUGAAUUGUGGCACUGUUUUGUGAUUUUACGUAGCAAAUCUGCUGAAUAUUCUUACAUCUGAACUUGGGUUUUGUCUACAUGCAUUAUCUGCUUAUGAAGAGAAAAUUUCCAGUUCCAGAGAGUUUUGUACAUUUGCUCAGUUGCUCAUCUUUGCUAAUCUGGGAAGAUACAUUGAGAACCUUUGCUUCUGGGGACUUCUUUUAAGAGAACAGACUCUUGUAACCCUUGGUUACAGGAAUCAGCAAGAAUUAUUAUUUUUAUGUAUUCACUUAAGCCAAAAAAUGUGCUUUCCUGUGUAAUGCAGCUGCUCACUUACCUAUAUAAUCCUUAAUUUGUGUCAGCAUGACCAGGUAAGAAUUCAACCUCCUGCCAGGAGGUUUGAGGUUGGUUGGUUUUGGUUACUAACAGGAACAUUCCUUUCCAUGCAGUAAAUGUUAAACUAGUUAGUUACAGCUAAGUACAGUGAUGUAAUCAAUUCUUGUUGCAACUCCAUGAAUUUCACCAAAACUGUCUUAGUAACUUUUUUUCCUCCCUGUUUGCUGUGGUGAUGGUUUCAUGAGUUUGUUUGGACAUCUGUGUUUAUAUUACACACAUGUAAAUUCAAUUCCAGCACAAAGAAAGGAUGUUUGCUCUUCCCUCUGAAUGGUGAACUUAAAAUUGUUUCCUCAAAAAUUCUCUCUUCUAGAGAACAGUGUGUGUAUGAGUAUCUGUGCCUGUUUUUAGUAACAUGGGCUUUAAAAGUGUUUCACUGAGUUUAGAGUAUUUCUUAGCAGUAAAUUCUUACCACCUAGAAUUAAAAAAAAACCUACCUGAAGCUCACAGCUGCAAAACUAACCCUAUAUUAAGUGCUCAGGAAGGUGUCAUACCUGUUAUCUCUGUGUUCUGGAUUAUAUUAAAAUCUUAAAAAAUCCUGAACCAUGAGAAAUCUUUCUCUCCACUACUUCAGAGCUUGUUGUAGGUGUCACCUACUGAAGAUGAAUUCAGCUUAAGGCAAGAUAGGAUUUUACUGCUGUGUUUGAGCAGAGGAUGGAUUUAGAGGACACCUUCUUUUUCUUCAAGCCCGUUGGAAAACUGCAUCUUUUUCCUGCAGUAAUGUUAUCUUUCAGUCAGGUGUUGCUAGUGUCAAAUGAUUAUCCAACUGCUUUAUUAUUAGAAAAUAUUAAUUAGCUUUGCUGAUGAAGAAGGAAUGGGGACAGCGGUGUCUAUUGCAUGAGUUGCUUGUCUUCUCUGAUCUUUAUGGAUGGAUUCCUCUCCGUUUUAGAGGAUAUGGGUUAUGUAACACAUAUUUAUUAGGCCUAAAACCCCUCUAAUAGUGACGUGAUGAUGAAGUUUUGCUCA